AUCUUGCUACAGUCAACAGUUACUCUGAUUUGCGCUAUGGUAGCUGUUGUAAGAAGUACCUGACUAUGCCGGACUUUUGUGCAGCCUACGGCUGCUCUAAUCACCGCAGUCUGCAAACAAGAACCCGUGGGAUCACCUUUCACCUGUUUAAGGCAGUGGGAACUCGCCCUAAGAAGAGACGGGUUUGUUUCCUGUGACAGGACACUGCUCUGCAGUGAGCACUUCAGGAGUGAGGAAUUUGACCGGACAGGGCAGACUAAUGGCGAAUCGCUACCACUAGGAGCAUAUAUCGCCACCUACUAUGUAUUUAUUAAAUCUUCAUGUUCCAUGAGACGCAGCACUAUGUUCCCCACAUAUGUUUAUGUUUGCUCAGUCUAAUAAACCCAUAACAUGGUUGUGAAAGAAUACCAAA